ACGCACGCUGGCGGCGUGCUUAACACAUGCAAGUCGAACGGAAAGGCCUGCCUUUGUGGGGUGCUCGAGUGGCGAACGGGGGAGUAACACGUGAGUAGCCUGCCCUUUACUUUGGGAUAACUUCAGGAAACUGGGGCUAAUACCGGAUAGGAGCUCCUGCUGCAUGGUGGGGGUUGGAAAGUUUCGGCGGUUGGGGAUGGACUCGCGGCUUAUCAGCUUGUUGGUGGGGUAGUGGCUUACCAAGGCUUUGACGGGUAGCCGGCCUGAGAGGGUGACCGGCCACAUUGGGACUGAGAUACGGCCCAGACUCCUACGGGAGGCAGCAGUGGGGAAUAUUGCACAAUGGGCGGAAGCCUGAUGCAGCAACGCCGCGUGCGGGAUGACGGCCUUCGGGUUGUAAACCGCUUUCGCCUGUGACGAAGCGUGAGUGACGGUAAUGGGUAAAGAAGCACCGGCUAACUACGUG
rnacentral:rRNA from 1 species